rnacentral:lncRNA from 1 species
UCGGAAAAAAAAAACUAGAAGCAAAAAAUCUGAUCACCUCUAUCCGCCUCCCACCAUCUUCAAUCUAAAAAUUUCUUUCCUCUCCCUCUCUAUACUGUCAUCCACUGCCACCAUAAAUCCCCAUGAUUUACACUAGAAAAAAAGGAAGUAGAUCCCAACAACACUUCAUUAAAAACAAAACCCCCAAAUCACCUUCAAAUCUAAAUUUAUCUCUCACUCAUACACUCGUAACAACACUUCGUUGCAUCAAUGAAGCCAUCACGGUUGGACAAUCCGUCGGACAACUAUUCUCUCAAAAAUCAGGUCAACGUCAUCAUGGAAUUGUUUCAUCAACGUGUUAAAGCAAUCAUCAUCUUAUUCGAUUUUGGACCCGAUUUCGGUGUAAUGAAGUUAAUAUUGAAAUGGGUUAAACAAUUUCGAGUUGGAUCUAUGGUUAGGUUCAGGAUUUUAUGUUGAUUCAUAUAAUGAUGAUGGCGACGAUGAUAAUUUUGGGUUUAUGGUUGCUAAUUGUGGCGUCAAUUUUUUUGCAUCAAGGAGAGGAUUUGGUGUUGUGUUCGGAUCUAGGGUUAGGUUUCAAAGAAAAGAACAAUCUUCAAUUUUGGGCAUCAACAUGUGCUUCAUUUCGGUUAUAAUUAUCAUCGCUUAAUUUGGGGAAUUUGUGUAUUGACUCUUUUCAAAUAUUUUUAUUUUAUUUUUAUGAAAUUAACCUUGGUAAUGUAGCGACGGCUUUAGGUAGAUGUUUCAAGGUGGCAUUGAUGGAGUUGGUGGUGGCGUAAGUUAUUAGGGGUGGUGUUAUAUUAAUGAUUCCAUUUUAAAAAUAUAUUUUUGCUAUUAUAGUUAAACAAUAAUAUUGUAUUAUAUUUUUGUCCUUUUAAUUUCAUAUAAAAUGAUUUAAAUUCA